AGAAUCAACGCUGGCGGCGUGCCUAACACAUGCAAGUCGCACGAGAAAGGGGAGCAAUCCCUGAGUACAGUGGCGCACGGGUGAGUAACACGUGAAUAAUCUACCUCCGAGUGGGGAAUAACUGAGAGAAAUCUUAGCUAAUACCGCAUAAUACCCACGGGUCAAAGCAGUAAUGCGCUUGGAGAGGAGUUCGCGGCAGAUUAGUUAGUUGGCGGGGUAAUGGCCCACCAAGACGAUGAUCUGUAUCCGGCCUGAGAGGGCGCACGGACACACUGGAACUGAAACACGGUCCAGACUCCUACGGAGGCAGCAGUGGGAAUUUUGCGCAAUGGGGGAAACCCUGACGCAGCAACGCCGCGUGGAGGAUGAAGCCCCUUGGGUGUAAACUCCUUUCGAUCGGGAAGAUAAUGACGGUACCGAUAUAAGAAGCCCCGGCUAACUUCGUGCCAGCAGCCGC
rnacentral:rRNA from 1 species